UUUCCGUAGGUGAACCUGCGGAAGGAUCAUUAUCGUACAAAAUGUGAGGGGCAUGCGAGGGCUGUCGCUGACCCAAAAGUCGUUCACGCCCGAGUGUGUCCUCUUGCAUAAUAAUCCAUCUCACCCUCUGUGCAUCACCCCGUGGGCACCCUUCGGCAUCAUCUCGGAGGGGGGCUCGCCUUUUCACACAAACCCCCCUUUUAAAAGUGUAGAAUGACCACAUUUAUGCAAUCAAUACAACUUUCAACAACGGAUCUCUUGGCUCUC
rnacentral:misc_RNA from 1 species